rnacentral:rRNA from 1 species
UACGGAGGGUGCAAGCGUUGUUCGGAAUCACUGGGCGUAAAGGGCGUGUAGGCGGCCUGCUAAGUCUGAUGUGAAAUCCCCUCGCUCAACGAGGGAACUGCGUCGGAAACUGGCAGGCUUGAGUACCGGAGAGGAAGGUGGAAUUCCCGGUGUAGCGGUGAAAUGCGUAGAUAUCGUAAGGAAGACCAGUGGCGAAGGCGGGUCUCUGGACAGUUCCUGACGCUGAGGCACGAAGGCCAGGGGAGCAAACGGG